GAACUGAAAGUACAGGAAGAGAGCGCGUGGUUCCAGGGGGAAUUGAACGGAGGACCUGGAUGGUAACAACAGGAAUUAUGUGCAACUCUAAAGGGAAUACAGAAGGAUAAAGACACGGCAGCCUGAUGAGAGGAAGGACUGGCCAGGAACUGAUAGCAAAGCUAAGUAUUCAUCCUUGAAUUAUACUGUUGAAGUGGAGCUUUUUGAUUAAAAGGAGGACUGUGUGGUGUUUGACAAAUGAUUCAGAGGCCGAUGCCCCGGAGGAGCAAACAGGCACCAACCAAGGGACGGACUGCCACCUGAGACAUGAGGUCCUACCCUAGUUAAGUUAAGUACCAGUAGUCGGGUUGGAAGACCAAAUCAGAGUAGGGAAGGCCAAGACUGGGGUGCACAUAGUGAAUGACUAAGGACACAGAGGGAGUGUGGAAAUCAAGUGCUGUUUGUUCUUUCAUUGCAGGAUCCUUUAUCAUGGUGCUGGAGAGGAGGGGACUGAGCCUGAAAGGAACUAAAUACAAGCCUUACACCAGGACAAACCAACGGAUUAGGAGGUUCUUGGGUUGGUCACCUUCAACUUUACCUUUUUUCUUGAUGUUUCUACCGGGGCAGUGUUUGGCGACUUGGAUUAAGUACAGGACCUACAAACCAAGUUUUCUAGGCUUGUUGGAGGCCCAGGUGAAUAUACUGGAACUACUGUUUCACCAAGCUGCUGCUUCUAUUGUUUGGGACAGUGUGUUAUGGUAAUAUAUUCUGUGGAGUUGAAUAAUUGUAAUAAUAUCCCCCUGAAGUCACAAGUAGUCUGUUAACAAUGUCUUAUGGAAGGUUUUAGUGGUUUUACUUGGUGCACAGUUUUAAGUUUUUUUUUUUUUGUUUUUUUUUUAUAUAUAUAUAUAUAUUUUUUUAAAAGGAUAGCUUUUGUACUGGGGAUAUACUGAAAGGUGUUUUGAAGGGGGAAUUCUAUACAUUGUCUCAAUGUAAGCUGUAUUCAAUUUUAUCAUUUCCUGUAUUUAAAUAUCAUUAUUUUUAGUUACCUGUUUGUGGUUUCUGUACACUCCAUUGGGAAGGUCCGGAUGGUCAGUUCGAAAUCCAAAACAACCUGUGGGCAAACGGUUAUAAAGAGAAUUAUAAAAACGUAUACUAUUUUUUGUAUUAACACGAUUUGAGUAAAAAUAUAAAACUCAAAUCAGAAGGGUAUAAGAAACGACAGUACUGUAUGUAUCAUUAACUGAGAAUGACCCUCCUUGAUUGUGACGCUCAAUCAAAUUAAGAAGUUGGAGAAUCUGCUGCAGCUCUCAAUUGGAAACUUACUAUAGUAACAUCUUUUAAAGUGACCCAUUUAACCUAAUUUCAAUGACACAAUUUUGGAUCUGAUAAUCCCAAAGUAGUGAUCUAAUGUUUGCUGAACCGUUCUAGGCUUUUUUUUUUUUGUACUUUAAACAGAUUACUAUAGAUCAACAAACUUAACAAAAAAACGUUAACACGUUAGUAAGCUGGUUAACAGUUAGGUGCACCUUUAAAAUAAACCAUCACCAAAUAGUUUAACCCAGAAUAGAUGUAUAACCUACUGCAUAAGGAGCUCAGAUCAUAGUCCUUCAGGCAGGAUGUUAAAAUUGAAACAGAUGUUUACAGUUUCUGGUUAGUAGCUACAUUUGGGAAUAAUGAUAAAGAAUGCUGAUGUUUUGCUGCCAACUACCACAGCAGACUAAGGCCAAGAACCUGGUAGGCAGAACUUAUUCAUAAAGCUUGUAGCUACGUAGUGUAUUGGGGUCUGUGUAAAUAAUACUGGCACUUACUGCAUAUCCUUAAAUCCUUAAGAACACAUUAAUGUCUGUCAAUGUUACUAAAAUCAAAUCCAAUUGACUUUUGGGAAAGGAGUUAUUUUUUGAAUUUGCAUUCUGGUGUGGAAAUUAAAAUCUGGGAUAAAAGUAAAGUUAGAUUCUGGAAUGCUAACACUUUUGAAACUCAUUUGCGUGCCUUAUAUUGGUUACCCUUUUAUUGAGUCUUUUGGUUCUUCACAUGUGGUGUGUUGGUUGGGUUUUGUGUUUUUUUUUUUUUUUUUCCCCCCCAAGGAUAUGUUCAAAUAUUUCAAAUACAGGAUUAUUGAUAAACUGCUGUACUAUGGGAAGAGAAUCAAACCUGUAGCACUUUGGCAAAACCUAUGUCAUUAUAAAAAAGGCAGGGCCGGCGUUAGGCGUAGGUGACAUAAGCAGCUGCCUAGGGCGCCAUCCAAUGAGGGCGCAUUUUUUUUGUUUUAUUUUUCCUUUUAUACAGGGGAGCAUAUACAUAUAAAAAAGCGCACCCUGUAAUAAGUGUACUUUUUUUGUGUGUGUAUAUGUAUGUGUGUAUAUAUGUAUGUGUGUGUAUAUAUAUAUAUAUAUAUAUAUAUAUAUAUAUAUAUAUAUAUAUAUAUAUAUAUAUAUAAUUAGCGCCCUUAAGGGGUGCGUUAUACAGCAGUUUCUUGCAACAAAACCGAUACGAUGCUAAUGCCCAGAACUAGUUCACUACACAUCACGAUUUCCACCGGUGUGACAGUCAGGGAGUUGAGGAGUACAAGGCGCAGAGUAACUGUGAUAGUAAAAAGAAAAAAGAAAAUCUUGAUAAAAUGACUAAAACUUUCUGGUUCGCAGUUUCGAAAACAACGAGCAGAAAAGGAAAAAUUUCAGGAAGGGGCAAGUUUAUGUGCAUGUGAUUUUCAUUUACACAUGAUUUGAAUCUCAAGGCCUUUUGGAUUUUCACCUCCUGGUGUAAUAGGGCCCAAUGUUCUGACUCAUACUUACCCACACGGCCUGCAGAAAUAUACUGCAUCUUAAGAGUAACUACUAUGAUGUGGCAUGCUUUAAUUUCUGUCCAGCCUGGAAAACAAAUAAACUAAAUUACACAUCAUUUAGAGAAAAAAGCACAGGAACUCCCUUCCCUCAAAAUAAUAAGGCCUUGAUUCAUGAAGAGUCUGCUGGCCAUAAAAGCUUAAUUUUUCAUCAAACGCUCAGCUAUGGAAAUUUUCUGUCAAACUUAAACAGAUAGAAGUUGUUUUAUGGAAACCAAUUUCUUGUGAAAGCUACAGUGAACACCACCUCUCUCUUCUUGACUUGUUUAUUUUGUUUUAUUUAAUUUAAUGGCUGUUUCAUUUACAGUAUUUGACUUAUAGAGCAAGGUUUGGAUAGAUGAUUAGGACAAUAGGGGCUGUUUUAAGUAUAAAACAAAAUCAACGUUUUAUGUGUAAAAAUGCCACAAAAUAAAAGACAAAGUUACAGCACUAUAGCAGUUUCAUUUUGUAAAUCUGUGUGGUCACAUAAAAUCAAACGGUAAAUGAAUGUAAUGUUUCCGAAUUUCAAAUAAAACAAAUUGUUCUGGCCCAGCCAGAGGGCUGUAAAUGAAUUAAACUCAAGGCCCUUUAUUUUUAGUUUUUACUGAUUUUUAAAAAAAUAUACAUACCGGUAUACAUUUAUGAAAAUUGUAUGGAUUUUACAAAAGCUAAACACUUAGCUUAACAUGUUUUACCAACUCAAACAUGUUAAAAUCAUGAAUCAGUAUUUUAGAUUCGGUGGACAUAUUUAUGUAAAUAAUAAAAUAAAAGGUUUAGUGUAAUAUGGGGCAUACUGAACUUACAGUACGUACAAAUACAGGUAAACUUCACCAGUUUUACAUGAUUUGCAUUUACAAAAACAGAAGUUGAGCUGCUUUUUGGAGUAUUAUUCCUGUAAAACUGGGGAAAUUAUUAUUUUCACUGAUUUUAGUUCUUAUUUAAAAAAUAAAAACAGAAAAUAAAGGAACAAGAUGAGAUUGAGUUUCACAGACUGGUUUCAUAGUGCAGAUAGAAACAUGGCAGAAGUGCUUACAUAGUAAAUGCAGUUUUGAAUAUAGAUAAAGAAAGAAAAAUGUUCUGUACAGAAGUAAAGCAGACGGUCCAGAGAUAAAAAUAAAAAUAUCAUACAUGUGUUGACAGAUCUAGUGUAAGGAGUGAAGUGUAACUUUGUGUAUUUUAAUGCCGCAGUUAUUAUGUUUAAAAAUUAAUGUAAAGUGUUUUAGAGGUACAAAUUAUUUCAGGCAAAUUGUUAGACAACAAAGCUGUUAGACAAAACUGAAAUGCGUAAUAUUGUGAAAAGUUUGGUAAUUUUAUAUUGUAACGACCCGGACAAUUGCAUUGUUGCAGGACUUGUUGUCUGUCCCGUUUGUCUUGUCUAUCUUUUAUGUUAUGUGUAUUGUAAGGGGAACGGGUCACACCGUUAGUUUGCAGCGGGAAAAGGGGGACUGUAGACCAUGGGUCGAUUGGUUGAGCUGGACAGCGGCGGGACAUGAGGAGAGGUUAUAUAAGGUGGUGCAUGAGUGACAGAGGGGGGAGAGACUGAGAGUGAAAGAGAGUGAAAGCGACUUGAUAGAAAGCGAGAGAGAUAGCAAUAGAGGAUAAAUAAGGGUUUGUUGUUUUAGUGGCGUGAAUUCCAGCCCCUGACAGGAAUUCCCUGUUUAUUCCAAUAAAAAAUCGAGACCGAGAAUUCCCCACUGUCUCCGUGAGUCCUGCUUCAUAAACCUGACAAAAACGCUACACUGGUGUCAGAAGUGGACGCAGGUACCCCAGCAUGCACUCGUCGGACUGUAGCCUGGUUAGCAAGUCCGGGGCGGACUUGAGGCUGGCAGGGGAGAGUGUAGCGUGCACGGGGGAAGGCAGCAGUAGGGCUGGUAGGUGACGUAAUCACUCACAGAGACAUGAGCCCGAUAUAUGCUCCUUGCAAAGGACCCGGCUCUUUUGUACAGCGGUAUCGGCGCUAUGCUUCAGUGCGAGAGGUCCCGGGUUCGCGCCCGCCCUCCGCCUGUGUGUGGAUUGCCUCGCCCAGUGUGAUAUGCCUGCCUGCGGAACCAGGAACGCUACAAUAUUUUGAAAAAAUGAAAGUAAAACAUUGUAUUUUAAGAAUGAAAAUACCGACUAGUUUUCAAAAAACUAUGUUGUAUUAAGAAUAGUACUUUAUUUUGAACUGUAUUAUUGGAAUGUAUUUUGAAAAGACCAAAAGUUAAAAAAACAGACACAUGCUUUCGUGUACAACUACAUUAGUAAUUACAUGGCAACUUUAUGCAGGAGUUUAGUUUUUGAUACUGCAAAAUAAUGUAUGGUGUGUAUGGUGGUAAGUAAUCCAUGUAAGUAGUUGUAUUGUAUCUUGCUCUUAAUUGUACUGUAAUUCUUGAUAUGUGUGUUUUGUAUAAAACUGUAAGUCGCCCUGGAUAAGGGCAUCUGCUAAGAAAUAAAAUAUUAAUAAUAAUCCAGGGGUUGCUCGUGAUGGGACUGUGUGGGAGAAGUUAGACACAGUUCAUGUGGGAGAAAUUAGACAACAAGCAGCAGAAGGGUUGACGAGCAUAGACAGCAGCACUUUACCGGGCAAACUAAAAUUCUGGUGCUUUCAGUUUGGUCUACUGCCGAGGCUUCUGUGGCCACUGACUGUGUACAAGGUUUCUUUGACAACAGUAGAGAAGCUGGAAGCUUUAAUCAGUUCAUACAUAAGGAAAUGGUUGGGAGUUCCAUGCUGCCUCAGCAGAGUGGGACUUUAUGGUAAAGGAAUACUGCAGCUACCAGUCUCCGCUCUAACCAAGGAGUUUAAGUGCGCCAAGGUCCAACUGGAAAUGACACAGGCAGCACCUGUGUUGAAAACUGGAAGAAAGUAGGUGGCAGAGAAAGCCGUGGAAGAUACAAAGGCUGCCCAUCGAAUCGGUGAUAUCAUGGGACAAGUUCAGCAUGGAAGAGGGGGUCUUGGUCUCAGUUCAGCUCCUCCUACAUGGCACAAGGCAACCCCAGCUCAACGGAGGAAGCUGGUAGUCAACAAGGUGCAAAAGCAGGAGGAGAGGAUGAGGUGCAUAAAGGCCGUUUCCCAGGCCAAGCAGGGAGAAUGGAUGAGAUGGGAGAGUGUGGAACAAUGCAAGAUCAGCUGGCAAGACCUAUGGACAAUGGAACAGAGCAGGAUCAGUUUCCUCAUCAGGUCAACAUAUGAUGUUUUCCCAUCACCACAGAACCUAAACCUCUGGGUAGGAGAGGAUCCCUCAGGUCCUUUGUGUUCAUCACCUGCAACAUUAAGGCACAUUUUGACAGGCUACUGUCUUGUGGUCUGGAUCAGCAUGCCUUGUUCACCUGGUAGAGUUAACAGUGCCAUAGGAGGAUGCUGUAACUGAGGCGUAUGAGAGGAAGAAACUUCGGUAUGCUCAACUAGCUGCUGAAGCGGAACAGCGAGGAUGGAGAGUCCGGGUUUACCCAGUGGAGGUGUACUGUCGAGGAUUUGUGGCAUACUCUACAACCUGGUUUCUCAGAGACGUCGGAUUCAGUGGCCAAGAGUUGCGUCGCACAGUGAGGAACUUGUCUGAAGCAGCUGAGAGGAGCAGCAACUGGUUGUGGUUGAGACGGAAAGAUUUUGACUGGGGAUCUCAAGCACAAUAGAAAGAAAGAAACGCUGAUGUACGGUUAAGUAAACUGGCUUGAGUUUAGGGGGGAUAGGAGGGUUAUUCUGGGACGCCAGAAUCACCGUCCAGCCCUCUUGAGGUGUCGUGGGCUAGUCGACGAAACACCAAGGAUAGAAAGUGCCCACUUGAAGACCUCAGAGAUGUACCCUAAUUAGCUCAAUCCAGAUGGUUGUCAUGCUGUUGCGCUGGGGAGAGCAUCACAGCCGUUGUGUGCGCUGAUGCGCUAGGGAGGCAAAAUAAGCUGAUCCCUGGAGCCAGCAUUAUACUUCAGCCAUCAACACCAGGCAGAAGGAAACACAAAUGGAUGGAGACGCAGAUGGAUCACAUUAAUUUACUGUAAAGCUACAUCUUAGUUGGUCCUUAUCUUGGCUAGAGCCGAGUUCAAAUCAGCAUGAAGUUUUAACAUCUACUCUCAUGUAAUGGAAAUCAUGUGGGAUAUUAUAACUCCUGGUGUGGAAGCUGCAGGAAGAAUGGCUCAACAGAACGUGUUGAAUUUAUUUUAUACCAAUUAGUAAUUUGCUUUAGACUUCUCCCACUGUACAAAGCCUAGGUGUACUUCUUGACAGCAGCCUCUCCUUUGAUGCCCACAUCUCCUCUGUAGUCAAAUCUUCCUUCUAUUAUCUUCGAAACAUCUCCAAGGUCCGCCCCUACCUUUACCUCCCGGAUGCAGAGAUACUCUGUAAUGCAUUUGUCUCUUCUUGACUCGACUACUGCAACUCUCUCUACGGUGGUCUCCCAGCAUGCACCAUAAACCGACUGCAGCUAGUUCAGAAUGCCGCUGCCAGGAUCCUUACCAGAUGUAAAAAACAUGAACACAUCACCCCCAGUCUUGCCCAGCUGCACUGGCUACCUACAGUACCCUUCAUCACACAGGUCCCAAGUACCUCCUCAACCUGCUGACCCACUAUAUCCCUGCCCGCAAGCCGAGGUCCUCUGACUCUGGCCUGCUUGUUAUCCCCAAGCAAAAGUGCACCACACUUGGAGAACGGUCGUUUAGCUUCAUGGCUCCGACUCUUUGGAACUCUCUUCCAACUUUGGUAUGUGAUGCUCCCACCGUCACUUGCUUUAAAUUAACUCUCAAGACCCACUUGUUCUCUCUUGCAUUCCAUGCUCUUUAAGCCUGAUAUCUGCUAUUAGCUGCUGUGUUGUUGCUACUAUUUCAUGUAUUAUGCUACUAUAUCAUGUAUUAUGCAUUUUUCACUGUAUUUCAUGUAUUGGAUGUUUUUGUUACUGCAUCUUGUGUUUUGAUGGAGGUCCACUAUGAAAGGCGUUAUGUAAAAUAAAGAUUGAUUGAUUAA